rnacentral:rRNA from 1 species
UUGCUCCUACGGGAGGCAGCAGUCGGGAAUAUUGCACAAUGGAGGAAACUCUGAUGCAGUGACACCGCGUAUAGGAAGAAGGUUUUCGGAUUGUAAACUAUUUUAGACAGGGAAGAAAAAAGUCAGUACCUGUAGAAUAAGCUCCGGCUAACUACGUGCCAGCAGCCGCGGUAAUACGUAGGGAGCAAGCGUUAUCCGGAUUUACUGGGUGUAAAGGGAGCGUAGGCGGCGAUGCAAGUCAGAAGUGAAAGCCCGGGGCUCAACUCCGGGACUGCUUUUGAAACUGUAUGGCUAGAUUGCAGGAG